ensembl:snRNA U1 U1 spliceosomal RNA
GUACUUAACAUUUGGCAGGGGAGAUCAUGAAGGAGGUUUUCCCAUUGUGAGGCUCAUCCAUUGCCCUCAGAGUGUGCUGACCCCAGCAAUUUCCUCAAAUGCAGGGAAUUCAGCUAUAAAAUUUGUGGUAGCAUAAUUUGUAGUAUUCAAAUGUGAU